GCUUUGAUCGCUGGUGCCUGGUUUUGUCACUGCCAGCGGUGACCAAGGCGGCUCCGCUACGUGGGAACUGCCCUCGGGAGUAACGGUCAACCCUAACAGCUGCUGGCAAGAUGGCUCUGGUCCUUGUCCCAACGGCAACUGCCUGGACAAGGGAACUCAGGGCACUGUCAUCAAGGAGACCACGGUGUCGUGUAAGUGGUAUUGCCUCUGGAGGAGCCACUGCAAGACACAGAUCUGCUGCAACUAAUAUCUCUGUUGCUUUCUGUGCGCUCUUUUCUGCGUUCUCAUCUUUUGUAAUGAUUCAGUCAUACUAAGCACACGAACACACACACGCAUACGAAUACACACACACAAACAUACCAACAGCUUCCCAUAAUACAUUUCAGGUUAAGGGUCUUAUAUUUGACCCACGCUGACAUCUUUUUUUCGAUAGACAUAGAUGAACAGACAAGUUAACAGAUGGAAAUAGAUACAGAGAAAAAGCGUCAUUUCCUAUUUAUCAAGAAUCACUUGCAUGAUGAUGGUCUUUUUAUCUUUUAUAAAAUAGCACUUUCAUUAAAUUUCGUGCUUUUUGGAUUUCAAGAAUGAUAUUGUCUCUAACAUUCUAUGAGUUUGACAUAAUCAAACUUCCUAUGUAUUAUUUGUAUCUUGAUUUAAUAUUACUGCACAAUGUAACGCAAUUUUAAGUUUGGUCUUAUGCAUGUAUACAUGUGUGUCCGCGUGUGUAUACACAGAUGCAAUAUAAUGUUACCUUCUAGAA